CAGCAGCCGCGGGAAUACGGAGGGAGCUAGCGUUGUUCGGAAUCACUGGGCGUAAAGCGCACGUAGGCGGCUAUUCAAGUCAGGGGUGAAAGCCCGGGGCUCAACCCCGGAACUGCCUUUGAAACUAGAUAGCUUGAAUCUUGGAGAGGCGAGUGGAAUUCCGAGUGUAGAGGUGAAAUUCGUAGAUAUUCGGAAGAACACCAGUGGCGAAGGCGACUGACUGGACAAGUAUUGACGCUGAGGUGCGAAAGCGUGGGGAGCAAACAGGAUUAGAUACCCGUGUAGUCCCUGUCUCUUAUAC
rnacentral:rRNA from 1 species